CGGCGUGCUUAGCACAUGCAAGUCGAACGCGAAAGGGGACUUCGGUCCUGAGUAAAGUGGCGCACGGGUGAGUAACGCGUAGAUAACCUGUCUUCAUGUCUGGAAUAAUACGCCGAAAGGGGUACUAAUACCGGAUAUCUUGCUUUUCAUAAGUUAUGCAAGCAAAGGUGGCCUCUGCAUAUGCUACUGCAUGAAGAGGGGUCUGCGUACCAUUAGCUAGUAGGUGGGGUAAUGGCCUACCUAGGCGACGAUGGUUAGCGGGUCUGAGAGGAUGAUCCGCCACACUGGCACUGGAACACGGGCCAGACUCCUACGGGAGGCAGCAGUGAGGAAUAUUGCGCAAUGGGGGAAACCCUGACGCAGCGACGCCGCGUGAGUGAGGAAGGCCUUCGGGUCGUAAAGCUCUGUCAAGAGGAAAGAAGUGUACAAUGGCUAAUACCUGUUGUAUUUGACGGUACCUCUAAAGGAAGCACCGGCUAACUCCGUGCCAGCCGCCGC
rnacentral:rRNA from 1 species